rnacentral:rRNA from 1 species
GACGAACGCUGGCGGCGUGCCCAAUACAUGCAAGUAGAACGCACAGUUUAUACCGUAGCUUGCUACACCAUAGACUGUGAGUUGCGAACGGGUGAGUAACGCGUAGGUAACCUGCCUGGUAGCGGGGGAUAACUAUUGGAAACGAUAGCUAAUACCGCAUAAUAUUAAUUAUUGCAUGAUAAUUAAUUGAAAGGUGCAAUUGCACCACUACCAGAUGGACCUGCGUUGUAUUAGCUAGUAGGUGAGGCAACGGCUCACCUAGGCGACGAUACAUAGCCGACCUGAGAGGGUGAUCGGCCACACUGGGACUGAGACACGGCCCAGACUCCUACGGGAGGCAGCAGUAGGGAAUCUUCGGCAAUGGACGAAAGUCUGACCGAGCAACGCCGCGUGAGUGAAGAAGGUUUUCGGAUCGUAAAGCUCUGUUGUAAGAGAAGAACGGGUGUGAGAGUGGAAAGUUCACACUGUGACGGUAUCUUACCAGAAAGGGACGGCUAACUACGUG